GAUGAACGCUGGCGGCGUGCAUAACACAUUCAAGUCGAACGGACUGAUUCGGAAGCUUGCUUCCGAUGAAAGUUAGUGGCGGACGGGUGAGUAACGCGUGAGCAACCUGCCCUUGUGUGUGGGAUAACGUCUGGAAACGGACGCUAAUACCGCAUGAAGCAUGGACAUCGCAUGGUGACCAUGCCAAAGAUUUAUUGCACAAGGAUGGGCUCGCGUCUGAUUAGAUAGUUGGUGGGGUAACGGCCUACCAAGUCGACGAUCAGUAGCCGGACUGAGAGGGUGAACGGCCACAUUGGGACUGAGACACGGCCCAAACUCCUACGGGAGGCAGCAGUGGGGAAUAUUGCACAAUGGGGGAAACCCUGAUGCAGCGACGCCGCGUGAGUGAAGAAGUAUUUCGGUAUGUAAAGCUCUAUCAGCAGGGAAGAAAAUGACGGUACCUGACUAAGAAGCCCCGGCUAACUACGUG
rnacentral:rRNA from 1 species